rnacentral:lncRNA from 1 species
AGGGCUACACUGGGAGCGUCAGUGUAGACAGAAUGGCAAUGGGAUGCUACAUCCUCUGGAAGACGGAGCUUCCUGUCAGGGUCUGGAGGGAUCACCAACCACUACAGAAGUGCUUUGCAAAACUCUCUUGCUACUGUACUUAGCUCCAAAUGGAAAAUCAAGUGAGAGCCAUCUGCUGUGUGAUAUUGCACCUCAUCGACCACAAUGGAUUACAGGACAAAGGAUGCUAGUGGUGUUUUGUGGGAAGAAGCAAACCUAGCAGAGCAUGUGAGAGUCUUUGAGAAUUAAUUUCUCUGAAUUCUGCAUCAUUUUCAAAAACCUUAUUGGACAUUAAUGCAGUAGGAAAAACUUCUCGAAAAAUGUUGACCCUGGAAUCAAAUUUCAUUUUAUAUUAAACUAAAAAACGUGUUUUAGCUGAGGUUUAAUAUUACUGAAAUUUCCACAAAUGCAACUAGCUUGUAAAUUGAGACCCAAUUUUACCUUUUUUGUUAAGAACGCUGCCAAGAAUUGUUCACUGUAUUGGAAAAGCACAUCAUGAGCAGCCAUGCUGUAAUAUUUGAAUUGCUAAUAAAAUAGAUCUGUUUCAGCA